GAUGAACGCUGGCGGUAUGCCUAACACAUGCAAGUCGUACGAGAGUUUUUAACUCUAGUGGCGGACGGGUGAGUAACACGUGAGAAUUUGCCUUUAGGAGGGGGAUAACAAUUGGAAACGAAUGCUAAUACCCCAUAUGCUUUUGAGUGAAACGGAUUUAUCCGCCUAGAGAGAAGCUCGCGGCUGAUUAGCUUGUUGGUAAGGUAAGAGCUUACCAAGGCGACGAUCAGUAUCUGGUUUGAGAGGACGAUCAGACACACUGGAACUGAGACACGGUCCAGACUCCUACGGGAGGCAGCAGUGGGGAAUUUUGGACAAUGGGGGCAACCCUGAUCCAGCCAUGCCGCGUGCAGGAAGAAUGCCCUCUGGGUUGUAAACUGCUUUUGACAGGGAAGAAAUCACUUAUGCGUAAGUGUCUGACGGUACCUGUAGAAUAAGCACCGGCUAACUCCGUG
rnacentral:rRNA from 1 species